rnacentral:ncRNA from 2 species
GGAUGGGACUCUGGAAAGAGCCUUUUCGAUAAGGCCACCGUAGAAGUAAAACUUUCAGGUAAAAAUACAGAGGGUACAGG